rnacentral:rRNA from 1 species
UACGUAGGGUGCGAGCGUUAAUCGGAAUUACUGGGCGUAAAGCGUGCGCAGGCGGUUGUGCAAGACAGAUGUGAAAUCCCCCGGGCUUAACCUGGGAAUUGCAUUUGUGACUGCACGGCUAGAGUGUGUCAGAGGGAGGUAGAAUUCCACGUGUAGCAGUGAAAUGCGUAGAUAUGUGGAGGAAUACCGAUGGCGAAGGCAGCCUCCUGGGAUAACACUGACGCUCAUGCACGAAAGCGUGGGGAGCAAACAGG